CACGUAGGGCGCAAGCGUUGUCCGGAAUUAUUGGGCGUAACGAGCUCGUAGGCGGUCUGUUACGUCUGCUGUGAAAACCCAGGGCUUAACCCUGGGCUUGCAGUGGAUACGGGCAGACUAGAGGCAGGUAGGGGAGAAUGGAAUUCCCGGUGUAGCGGUGAAAUGCGCAGAUAUCAGGAAGAACACCCGUGGCGAAGGCGGCUCUCUGGUACGUGACUGACGCUGAGACGCGAAAGCGUGGGGAGCAAACAGG
rnacentral:rRNA from 1 species